UACGAAGGGUGCAAGCGUUACUCGGAAUUACUGGGCGUAAAGCGUGCGUAGGUGGUUUUUUAAGUCCGUUGUGAAAGCCCUGGGCUCAACCUGGGAAUGGCAGUGGAUACUGGAAAGCUAGAGUGCGGUAGAGGGUAGUGGAAUUCCCGGUGUAGCAGUGAAAUGCGUAGAGAUCGGGAGGAACACCAGUGGCGAAGGCGGCUACCUGGACCAGCACUGACACUGAGGCACGAAAUCGUGGGGAGCAAAACGG
rnacentral:rRNA from 1 species